GGGAGCGCGGCGGAGAAGGCGGGGGCGGAGAGGGCCGGCGAAGCGAGAGCAACGAGCACGGAC
rnacentral:ribozyme from 12 species